rnacentral:rRNA from 1 species
GGCCUGCUCCAUGAUUAAAUUAAAUAGCCGCAGUAUUUUGACUGUGCAAAGGUAGCAUAAUCAUUAGUUUUUUAAUUGAAAGCUGGAAUGAAUGGUCGGAUGAGAAAGAAUCUGUCUCAUUUUUAUUUGGUUUGAAUUUUAUUUUUAAGUUAAAAAGCUUAAAUUUUAUAGAAAGACGAGAAGACCCUAUAGAGUUUAAUAGGUUAAUAAUUUAAUUAUUAAAGGAUUUAAGUAUAAUUAAUUAAUUGCUUGUUUUGUUGGGGUGACAUGAGAAUUGACGUAACUUCUUAUAAAUUUUACAUUGAUUUAUGAAUGAAUGAUCCUAAUUUUUGGAUUUAAAGAGAAAAUUACCUUAGGGAUAACAGCGUAAUCUUUUUGGAGAGUUCUAAUCGAUAAAGAGGAUUGCGACCUCGAUGUUGGAUUAAAGUUAAAUUUCGGUGUAGAAGCUGAAAUUUUGAGUCUGUUCGACUUUUGAAACUUUACGUGAUCUGAGUU